rnacentral:rRNA from 1 species
UACCUGCAGCUCGAGUGGUAACCGCUAUUAUUGGGCCUAAAGCGUCCGUAGCCGGUUUGGUAAAUAUCUGGGUAAAUCGUGAGGCUUAACUUCACGAAUUUCGGAUAGACUGCCAGACUUGGGAUCGGGGGAGGUCAGAGGUACUCCAGGGGUAGCGGUGAAAUGUUGUAAUCCUUGGAGGACCACCGGUAGCGAAGGCGUCUGACUAGAACGAGUCCGACGGUGAGGGUACGAAGCCCCUGGGGGCGCAAAACCGGGAUUAGAUACCCGGGUAGUCCAGGGUGUAAACAAUGUGGGCUUUGUAUUGGAGGUACCCACGUGGGCGUCCAGUGCAGAAGAGAAGUUCGUUAAGCCCAACCGCCUGGGAAGUACGGUCGCAAGGCUGAAACUUAAAGGAAUUGGCGGGGGAGCACAGCAACGGGAGGAGCGUGCGGUUU